rnacentral:misc_RNA from 1 species
AUGUCUAUGGUUGAUUGGUUUUUGCAUUCCAAGGAAUUAAUUCCUAGUGGUGUCUUUGAUACUUUCAUCUGAUCAAGUGCUUAGUAUUACUUUAUGGUGGCUAUUGCGCUGGCGCUAUGAGUCUGUUUUGCAGGGAUGAAUCCACUUCUGUCUUUUAAGUUAUGCAUCCUCAAAUCUCAUGUUCUGUCUUCUACGGCUUGGGCUGUUUCUAAAUCCUUUGUGUCCUCAUCGAGGACUGUGAUUUCUGUGAGAUGGUUGCCUCCAUAUGAUGGAUGGAUUAAGCUGAACUCAGAUGGUGCGUAGAAGGGUAAUUUGGUCGGAGUGGU